CUGAUGCUGACUAGCAGCCAGAAGCUAGGGCCUGUAAGGGAGCUAGUGUCAGGGGUCUGGAAGACUGUGUAUGCUUGAAGGGACUUCGGUACCAGUGGUUCCUGUCAGGACACAUUUCCACUGAAGUGGGACGCUGCACACAUUGACCCGAGCCCACUUCAAGUAUUGCAAACCCUCAGAAAGGCUUUUCUGAUUGGAGACAUUUGAAUCCCAGAAUAGAAAACCAUGAAAACGUGCUUGAUCACCGAGCUUUACAGAUAAAUUUGAAGUGCCCAGUUGAAAUGAGAUAUGGCAGCUGGCUGCAUUAAUGUAUGCUUUGGGCCCACCAGUGCUUGACCAGCUCAAGGUGUUGGAUCCUUCGUGCA